UACGAAGGGGGCUAGCGUUGCUCGGAAUCACUGGGCGUAAAGGGUGCGUAGGCGGGUUUCUAAGUCAGAGGUGAAAGCCUGGAGCUCAACUCCAGAACUGCCUUUGAUACUGGAAGUCUUGAGUUCGGGAGAGGUGAGUGGAACUGCGAGUGUAGAGGUGAAAUUCGUAGAUAUUCGCAAGAACACCAGUGGCGAAGGCGGGUCUCUGGGCCGAUACUGACGCUGAGGAGCGAAAGCGUGGGGAGCGAACAGG
rnacentral:rRNA from 1 species